GACGAACGCUGGCGGCGUGCUUAACACAUGCAAGUCGAACGGAAAGGCCCUGCUUUUGUGGGGUGCUCGAGUGGCGAACGGGUGUGUAACACGUGAGUAACCUGCCCUUGACUUUGGGAUAACUUCAGGAAACUGGGGCUAAUACCGGAUAGGAGCUCCUGCUGCAUGGUGGGGGUUGGAAAGUUUCGGCGGUUGGGGAUGGACUCGCGGCUUAUCAGCUUGUUGGUGGGGUAGUGGCUUACCAAGGCUUUGACGGGUAGCCGGCCUGGGAGGGUGACCGGCCACAUUGGGACUGAGAUACGGCCCAGACUCCUACGGGAGGCAGCAGUGGGGAAUAUGACACAAUGGGCGGAAGCCUGAUGCAGCAACGCCGCGUGCGGGAUGACGGCCUUCGGGUUGUAAACCGCUUUCGCCUGUGACGAAGCGUGAGUGACGGUAAUGGGUAAAGAAGCACCGGCUAACUACGUG
rnacentral:rRNA from 1 species